CACAUGCAAGUCGAGGGGCAGCAUAGAAGUAGCAAUACUUUGGUGGCGACCGGCGCACGGGUGAGUAACGCGUAUGCAACCUACCUAUCAGAGGGGAAUAACCCGGCGAAAGUCGGACUAAUACCGCAUAAAACAGGGGCACCGCAUGGUGAUAUUUGUUAAAGAAAUUCGCUGAUAGAUGGGCAUGCGUUCCAUUAGGUAGUUGGUGAGGUAACGGCUCACCAAGCCGACGAUGGAUAGGGGAACUGAGAGGUUGGUCCCCCACACUGGUACUGAGACACGGACCAGACUCCUACGGGAGGCAGCAGUGAGGAAUAUUGGUCAAUGGGCGGGAGCCUGAACCAGCCAAGUCGCGUGAAGGAAGAAGGAUCUAUGGUUCGUAAACUUCUUUUGCAGGGGAAUAAAGUGCAGGACGUGUCCUGUUUUGUAUGUACCCUGAGAAUAAGGAUCGGCUAACUCCGUGCCAGCAGCCGCGGUAAUACGGAGGAUCCGAGCGUUAUCCGGAUUUAUUGGGUUUAAAGGGUGCGUAGGUGGUUUGAUAAGUCAGCGGUGAAAGUUUGCAGCUUAACUGUAAAAAUGCCGUUGAAACUGUCGGACUUGAGUGUAAAUGAGGUAGGCGGAAUGCGUGGUGUAGCGGUGAAAUGCAUAGAUAUCACGCAGAACUCCGAUUGCGAAGGCAGCUUACUAAGCUACAACUGACACUGAAGCACGAAAGCGUGGGGAUCAAACAGGAUUAGAUACCCUGGUAGUCCACGCAGUAAACGAUGAUUACUAGCUGUUUGCGAUACACAGUAAGCGGCACAGCGAAAGCGUUAAGUAAUCCACCUGG
rnacentral:rRNA from 1 species